AGCAGUAUGGUGUAAUGAUGCACGUGGGAUUUCCUUGGGACUUGGAAGAUUCGUUAUUCCCGAGGUCCUUGUUCGAGUCAAGGUACUGUUC